CCCUUAGAUGUUCUGGGCCGCACGCGCGCUACACUGACUGGUGCAACAAGUGUCGCUCCUUGGCCGAUAGGCCUGGGCAAUCUUUAAACGCCAGUCGUGAUGGGGAUAGAUUCUUGCAAUUUUUGAUCUUCAACGAGGAAUUCCUAGUAAACGCGAGUCGUCAACUCGCAUUGAUUACGUCCCUGCCCUUUGUACACACCGCCCGUCGCACCUACCGAUUGAAUGGUCCGGUGAACCCUCCGGAUCGGCUCGCGCCAACGCAAGUUGAGCAAAGGCCGAGAAGUUGGGUAAACCUUACCAUUUAGAGGAAGGUGAAGUCGUAACA
rnacentral:rRNA from 1 species